GCGGGUUAGAGAAGCGGUCAUCUCGUCUGGCUCAUAACCAGAAAAUCAUGGGUUCGAAUCCCAUACCCGACACCA
rnacentral:tRNA from 1 species